rnacentral:rRNA from 1 species
AAUCAACGCUGGCGGCGUGCCUCAGACAUGCAAGUCGAACGCGAAAGCUCCCUUCGGGGAGCAAGUAGAGUGGCGCACGGGUGAGUAACACGUAGGUAAUCUACCUUUGGAUGGGGAAUAACAACCGGAAACGGUUGCUAAUACCGCAUAAUGCAGCGGCACCUAAUGGUGACAGUUGUUAAAGCGGGGGAUCGCAAGACCUCGCGUCUGAAGAGGAGCCUGCGGCGGAUUAGCUAGUUGGUAAGGUAAAGGCUUACCAAGGCGAUGAUCCGUAGCCGGCCUGAGAGGGCGGUCGGCCACACUGACACUGACAUACGGGUCAGACUCCUACGGGAGGCAGCAGUCGGGAAUUUUGGGCAAUGGGCGAAAGCCUGACCCAGCAACGCCGCGUGAAGGAUGAAAUCCCUCGGGAUGUAAACUUCGCAAGAACGGGAAGAAUAAGCCGGUGUUAACACCAUCGGCGAUGACGGUACUGUUUGUAAGCUCCGGCUAACUCCGUGCCAGCAGCCG